UUGGGUGGGUAGAGCACUGUUUCGGAUAUGGAGUCAUAUAGACUUACUAAACCGAUGCAAACUACGAAUACCAAUGAUCUCAGCAUAGGAGACACACUAUGGGUGCUAACAUCCAUAGUGGAAAGGGAAACAACCCAGACCGUCAGAUAAGGCCCCAAAAUCUUAGUUAAGUGGAAAACGAGGUGGGAAGACUAAGACAGCUAGGAGGUUGGCUUAGAAGCAGCCAUCCUUUAAAGAAAGCGUAACAGCUCACUAGUCUAGUUCACCUGCGCGGAAAAUAUAACGGGGCUAAACUAAGUGCCGAAGCUACGGGUUUAUACAUACAAAAUAUAAGCGGUAGAGGAGCGUUGUGUAAGUCUGUGAAGGGAUAUUGUAAGGUAUGCUGGAGAUAUCACAAGUGCGAAUGCUGACAUGAGUAACGAUAAGGGAUGUGAGAAACAUCCCCGCCGAAAAACUAAGGUUUUCUGUUCAACGAUAAUCGGAGCAGAGUUAGUCGGUCCUAAGGUGAGGCUGAAAAGCGUAAUCGAUGGAAAAUGGGUUAAUAUUCCCGUACCAUAUGUAAUUGCGAUGGGGGGACGGAGAAGGCUAGACGAGCCCAGCGUUGGUUGUCUGGGUGAAAGUAUGUAGGUUUAGAAAUUAGGUAAAUCCGAUUUCUUAAUAAAACUAAGGUAUGAGACGAACUAUUGAAGUCGUUGAAGCCAUGCUUCCAGGAAAAGCCUCUAAGCUUCAGAUUACAUAUGACCGUACCAGAAACCGACACAGGUGGUUAGGUAGAGCAUACUAAGGCGUUUGAGAGAACUCGGGUGAAGGAACUAGGCAAAAUGGCACCGUAACUUAGGGAGAAGGUGCGCCGACUUAUUGUAUAACCUAGAACAGGGAAAGCAAGAAUCGGCCUAAGAAACCAGGUGGCUGCAACUGUUUAUUAAAAACACAGCACUCUGCUAACGCGCAAGCGGACGUAUAGGGUGUGACGCCUGCCCGGUGCUGGAAGGUCAAAAGGAGAUGUGCAAGCAUUGAAUUGAAGCCCCAGUAAACGGCGGCCGUAACUAUAACGGUCCUAAGGUAGCGAAAUUCCUUGUCGGGUAAGUUCCGACCUGCACGAAUGGCGUAAUGAUGGCCACACUGUCUCCACCCGAGACUCAGUGAAAUUGAAAUUGCUGUGAAGAUGCAGUAUACCCGCGGCUAGACGGAAAGACCCCGUGAACCUUUACUAUAGCUUCAUAUUGAAAGUGGGUAUUAUUUGUGUAGAAUAGCUGGGAGACAAUGAAGUACAAACGCAAGUUUGUAUGGAGUCAGCAUUGAAAUACCAGCCUAAUAUU
rnacentral:rRNA from 1 species